GAGAGAGCGAAGAGGACCGAGGAGAGAGGAGGCAGAGAAACGAGGGGGGAAACGGUCGGUUCGGCCAGAAGAUUAAGAAAAGAAGGAGGAGGAACAGAGCGGCGACGAAGUAGCUAAACUAGAAAUAACUAAUAAGACAUUCACUCUGAGACGGGCGGCCAGCCGGCCCGGACGAACGCGCUGUCACAGCGCUGGAUUUCGGCGACCGGGAAGCACCACCACUCGGGGACUCGUAGGGAGGUCCCCCAACCGGAAGAGGCCGCCGUAAGGCGGUCGACAAAUCAGGCAUGGAGCAGUUCGAGCAGCUGCUAACCUGCGCGAUCUGCCUGGAUCGGUACAGAAAUCCGAAGCUCUUGCCAUGCCAGCACAGCUUCUGCAUGGAGCCGUGCAUGGACGGCCUGGUCGAUUACGUCCGUCGACAGGUCAAGUGUCCGGAAUGCCGCGCCGAACAUCGUAUACCGUACCAAGGCGUGCAGGCCUUCCCGACCAACGUGACUCUGCAACGUUUCCUGGAGCUGCACAUCGAGAUCACGGGCGAGCUGCCGGACCCGACCAGCGGCCAGACGAUGGAGCGCUGCGGCGUCUGCUCCGAGAAGAGUUACUGCGCCCUGUGCGUGCACUGCGAGAAGAAGUGCUGCCCCGAGUGCAAGGACGCGCACAUGGACAUCCUGAGGCGCGAGAUCACGCGCAUCAAUUCCCAGGUGCGCCGGGGUCUGCACAGGCUGCAGGACGCGUUGGCCCUGGUGGAGAAAAACACGCUGGGUCUGCAAACAAACUGCGCCUCGGUCGCCGAAGAGGUGGACGAGAUUUAUCGGAGGCUGAGCAAGGCUUUGAAAGACCGCACGGAACAUCUGCGUAACGAGGUCGAUCGAUACCUCGGCGCCGAGCUCAGAGGCCUGAUUCAGCUCAAAGAGAAUCUCGAACUGGAAAUCGCGAAUAUCCAGAGCAACUGCGAUCUGGCGGAGGCGCACAUCAACGAGAACGUACCGUGGGACGACGCCGAGCUGCUGGACACAAAGGAACUCUUCCUGCGUACCGUCGAAUUUAUCAGGAACUUCGAGUACGAAGCGGGGGAUUACAGCCGGCGUGUCCGCUUCGUGAUGGCGCACGAUCCGAAUCAGCUUGUCCUACAUGUGGCGGGUUACGGCGAACUGAACAUUAAACCCGAGAGCGGGAGCGGCGGAUUGCUGGGCAGCUCCAGCAGUUUAGCCCCACCUGGAGGCUCGCCCGGCCUCAUGAGGAGCAAGAGCGAUCACCGUCUCGCCUCGCAAUACAGGCAGCAGGAGGAGGAACGACUGGCCAGGAAUCGAUACGUGCCGGAAUACGAGUACGACGCGCCCGAGUACGAAGUGCCGAGGAACAAGUCCCGAUACAGGAGUCGAUUCAUGCGUCACCGCGACGGCGACGAUUCCGACGGCGACUCCCGGUCGACGGUGAGGUUCACGUCGGAGCGGCAGGAGCCGUCGGCCCUGCGCGAGCGCGUCCUGGACACGGAGGACGCCGCGCGCGGGCCUCUCUCCGGCAUAUUUCGCCUCACGGACUCGCCGCGGGUCAUGAAGAAGCUGCAGGAGUGCGAGCGCGCCGGCAAGAGGAAGAAGGAGGAGCCGGCGAGCCAGCAGACAACGGUGCAGCAGCCUCAACCAGCCAAGCCUCAGGUGCAAGUGAGAAAGGUACCGAGCGCGAUGGCGAGGCAGACCAGCGAGGACGACGAGAUCUCGAGGAUCAAGAAGCAGAACAAGAACGCCGCGACGGCCGGCCACGCCGACAUGGUAGAGGAGAGACAGCCGACGGCGCCCGCUGCUCCGGUCCAUCCGCCACCGAGAGAGCUCCCAGAGCGGGAAGUCGAAGAGCCGGUCAGGCGGCCGGCUAUCGCCAGGAGAACUUCGGCGGAAACUCACGCUCCCCCCGCGGCUAGGAGCGCCUCGUCGGACUCGAGCACCGGCUCCGAGAGUUCGACCGGCUCGGGGAUCCGCAAUACGGGCGCGCCCUUCACGGCCGAGGAGAUGAAGCAGAAGUACCUGUCGAGGGCGCCGCCGACCAACACUACCACCACCACCGUGUCGACCGGGCCGCCUGUGUCCACCACCACCGCCGGCAGGGACUCGGCCAAUACCACCACGCCGACGCCGAGGCCGUUCCAGAGCCGUUUUUUAGGCGCAGGUAACCGAGCGGCCCCGCCACCACCGAUCCAAACGUCGCGAGAAGAGCCGGCGGCUGCGAAGAAGAAGGAAGAAGAGGAUGACGACGAUGAGGAGACGAGCAGCUCGUCCGAGGAGACCGAGUCGGACACCGAGGAGGAGUCGGAAACGGACGUUCACCAUCCGUCCAACACCGCUCCAUCGUCAACCUCCGCUGUGCCUCAGGAUCGUCAGAGGAACGAGUCCGCCAUGGCGCGCACCGAUAUAGGACCUCUGCUCGCUCGCAGCGCCGAGGCCAGGAGGGGCAGCAAGGAGGACUCGCCUUCCACCAGGUAUUCGUCGCCGAGAGGGAGCCCCGCGCAUUCCGUGACGAGCCCGACGACGACGAUGACGACGAUGACGAGCCCGGGCGGCGGCGGCGGUGGCGGCAUCGGUGGCAUUGGCGUUGGCGUUGGCGUUGGCGUCACGACGCCGACGACCACGCCGGGCGGUUACACCAGCAGGACGUUUAGUGACCGUACCGACGUAAGGUCGGCCGAUCGCGUCGAAGACGAUAUAGUAAUCGCGGCUACUACUAUUACUACUACUACUACUACUACUACUACUACUACUACCAAUACUACUACUACUACUAUCAAUACCAUUACCACCACUACAAUCGCGGAUUACGCUUUUAAUGCCGACAACGGGGACGUACUGAGGCAGGUUGUUAAACCGCCACCGACGAACACUACCCCGCAAAUUACGGACGCUAUUACGGACACCGACAACAAAUCGACCACCUCAUCCUCCUCCCACCUCGCGAUUAGCCCCGAAAGUCUCAUGGAAGGUAGCCGCGGUAGUCGAGUUGCGAGCGUGGCCGAAGACGACGCGCUAGCGGACGGUCGUUCAGGAGACGAUGAGGUCUCGUUGCUGACCGGACACGACCGGUACGGGUCCACUUGCAUCAUCGUGGUCGAUGACUCCGCAACGAGAACGCGCGACACCGUCAUGCCCGAGUCCGAGGACACGCCGGGUUCGCGAGCAGCGGAGGACUUGGCGAGAAACGCGAUUGUCGUCGAGCGGUCCGCGUCGGACCUCUCGAGUCUAUCGGCCGAGGCGAUCGACCAGCGCAGAGACCGGUCCAAGUCCAAAGAGUCCCAAGGAAUGUCCGAGAGCUCGAGUUCCGUGAGCGGCCGGACCAUGUCCGACAGCGAGUCGGAGAGCGGUUCUGAGAGCGGCUCGGAGGACGAGGACGAGGACGAGGAAGAGGAGGAAGAGAACGAGGACGAGAACGAGGACGACGGUUCUCGGGAUGAGAAUUGCAACUUGAAGACGGAGAAGAAAGAGGACAAGGAGAAGGAGCGCAAGAACUCGAAGGGGACGAACGAUGCCGAGUACAGAGGGAACGAAGGUUCCUCGAACUCCUCCGACACCGACGGCGAAGCCACGGUGUUGAGCGUCGACUCCAACACCCGAGCCGACAGCAGUGUAACGCAAUCGGACGACGUGCGCUACGAGAGGGACCUGAAGCGCCGCAGCGCCUCGAUCAUCGACGAGAGGAGUAUCGAGGAGAUGUUCGACGACAACGGCUGGGUCAUCACCGAGCAGGACCUGCAGAGCGACGUGCGCACCGUGUCCGCGAUCCUGCCGGGUUUCGAACCCGCGAACGAUUCCAGCGAUCGGCCGGCCGAUCGACGACAGACUGAAGACACCGCCGGCGAGGCCAGCGACGCAGCUGGGACUCGUCCGGAGGAAGCCAUUCCCAAAAGCGCUGAGUGCAGACCGGACGAGGCAGUCUCGAGCAAUCUCGACGCCGAGACGGCUCCCUCGAGCGAACGACGAGCAUCCGAGGAGACCCUCCCGCCGAGGAGUCGCGUGUACAGGCAGAGCAGCCUCGGCAACAAUGGCUGGCUGGUGUCCGACGAGUCUGAGAGCGAGUCUGACCGCGCGACCUCGCCGAUCGAAGCGUCCUCCGACCGAAGGCUGGCAGCUGAGAUCGACGCUGAUGGCCAAGUGGAUCAUGAGACAGACCGAGAUAACAUGAGCAGCAUCGACGAGAACGGUUGGGUGGUACUCGACGACGAAGAUGAAGACGAAGAUGAAGCCGAUCAAGACGAUGAAGACGACGACGACGACGACGACGACGACGACGACGACGAGGACGAGGACGUCGUCAGCGAAGAUUCGGAGGAGCGCGGGAGCGCGGAGAACGCCACGAGCGCGAUUCGUUCCCAAGCGACCAGUCUCCUAAUGAAAAGAAACAUGGAGAACUGCGCGUUACUCGCAAACGCUACCCACCUAAAGGGCACCGAGUCGCCCGGCGAGCACGAGGGACCGCCCGGUGGCAAUAUCAGUAUACCGGUGCAAAUGGUUCCUCAACAAGAGCAGGAGCCAGGCGGCGAUGAUGGCGUCCCGCGAGCGGGAACGCGAGCGGGACCGCGAACGGGAACGCGAACGGGACGCAGACGCGGAGAUAGACUCGCCGUUGUCGACGAGAUCGCGCUACGCCGCCCUGAAGGAGCGCCGGCAGCGUCUGGCGCGUUCCCGGAGCUCGCACAACUUUGGCGGCGACGACCUCGACCUCGACGAGGAGCCGCCAUCGCCGACCACCCAGUCGCCGAACGCUUACCUGGCGGCGAAGUACGGCGCCGGCUCCGAGCUGGCCCGCAGCCGCAGCACCCACGCGCUGAAGUCGCGCGAACCGAGCCCGGAACGCGAUCGCCCGGGCGCCGAGAAGGACGGCGCGGCCUUGAGCUCGUGGGCGAGGUACCUGAAGAACAAAUACGGCAACCGCACCACCAAGGACAAGGAACCGCCCUCCUCGUCCUCCACGAUACCCUCGUCCAGUACCAGCGCGACCUCCAGGAGGCUGUCGUUGGGCUUACCGCUCCGGCACGCCGGCCAGACGUCCUUCGAAUCUUCUGACGACGACCAAAAAAACCCGUCAGGCUCCCCCACGUCCCCUACGGCAGCUCCCGUUACACCCGCGGCAGCAGGUUCCUCCACUAGCAAUGGUCGGAGGAGUCAUUACUUGCUGAAGCGGCGGCAGCUGUUUAAGUUCGGGAUGCGGGGGAGCGAAGCCGGAUGCUUUACCUGGCCGAGAGGCCUCGCGGUCGGCCCGGACAACUCCAUCGUCGUGGCCGACAGCUCGAACCAUCGUGUUCA
rnacentral:misc_RNA from 1 species